UGCCAGCCGCCGCGGUAACACGGGGGGCGCAAGCGUUAUUCGGAAUUAUUGGGCGUAAAGGGCGCGCAGGCGGUCUUGUCCGUCAGGUGUGAAAGCUCGGGGCUCAACCCCGGAAGUGCACUUGAAGCAGCAAGACUUGAAUACGGUAGAGGAGAGAGGAAUUCCUGGUGUAGAGGUGAAAUUCGUAGAUAUCAGGAGGAACACCGAUGGCGAAGGCGGAUUCCUGGGCUGGUACUGACGCUGAGGUGCGAAAGUGUAGGGAGCAAACAGGAUUAGAUA
rnacentral:rRNA from 1 species